rnacentral:rRNA from 1 species
AUGGACGCCGGCGAGCUGGAGGUCUUCGACGCCGGCCGUUACACCGAGGGAUAUCAGCUCGGUCUCGCCGUGGGCCAGCGGUUCAGCGAGACGAUCAGGAGCAGGAUGCAAGUGGACCUCUUCCUGCAGGAGCAGCUGCUGCCGUUCGCGUCCACGGCGGCGGGCAAGCCGCUCCUCACCGCGCUCCAGGCCGCCAACAGGGAGAGGUACCCCCGGUACUGGGACGAGCUGGUGGGCAUGGCGGACGGCAGUGGCGUCCCACUCCUCCACGUGAUUCUGGUCAACUUGAGGAAGGAGAUUCGUCCGUUCAUCCCAAAGAAGGACCACGAACGGAGAGAAGAGCCCGACGACGACUGCUCCGACAUCCUGAUGGUGAGCGAGUCGACGGCGUUCGCGGCGCACAACGAAGACGCGACCGCCGCGCUGCUCGGCCACACCUACGUGGUGAAGGCGACGUCGCCGGACGGCGUAUCCUCCUUCACCGCCUACACCUACGCCGGCGAGCUCCCCACCUGCGCCUUCGGGUUCAACAGCAACGGAGUGGCCUUCACGCUCGACUCGGUUCCGCCGGCGAUCGGCGAGGUCGCCGCGGGGGCCAUCGCCGUGAACUUCGUGUCGCGGGACCUGCUGGAGGCGAGAGACCUGGACGACGCGAUGCGCAGGGUGUGCUCGCCGGGCGUCUCGGUCGGGCACUGCUACAACCUGAUGGACGUCAGAGCCCGACGGAUCGUCACCGUCGAGACCGCCUCCCGGAGCCGGUUCGCCGUCCAGGAGGCCGGCGCCACGCCCUCCUUCCACGCGAACAUGUACCGUCAUCUCCAAGUGGAGCAGGUGCAGGACGAGAACUCCAUGAGCAGGGAGAGGAGAGCGGCGCAGUGCGCGAUGGACUCCAAGGAGAAGGCGCUCGCGGUGCUCGGAGACGCGGCCGACGACAAGUACCCCAUCUUUAUGACAGGUCCAACGCUGUAUACUCUAUGCACCGUCUUGGUUGAUCUCGACGAGGAGACGAUGACCAUUUACAGGGGGAAUCCCAAGAACAGAGAUGCCGUUCGAGUAGCUCUUCCUAUGCUGUCAACUUCUAAUAACUAG